UGACCUAGUUUCCUUCAUCUUCCAUUAUUGAAAUCUCAAUGGGGAUGUGUCAUUUGGUUCCCGAUUAUAUGACCAUUUUUUACGGUUGUUGUUCUAUAAGGUCUCUGUUUUAUGGAUGGAUUGUGAAGCAAAGAGUGAAGAGGAUGAAAUGCAUUGUAAGAGACAAUUUUGGGAAGCAGAGAGUGAAGCAGACUGGCAGAGAGUGAAGAAGGAAGAUGAAGAGGUUAUGAGAGGGACAAUUUUGUAAUUCCCUAAUUCCACUCAAUACCCAAAUAAGAAUAUUCGUUUUUUUUAAUUCAAUAUUAAUAAAACCUAUGAUAUCCGAAAUAUCACGUACCAAAUGACCUCUAUAAUAAUUUCUGAAAAAAAAAGAAAAAAGGAAAAUAGUAAGCAUAUAAUAAAUCAGCACGCUCUAGACUCCCGAAAGCUUUAGAUUGGUUACAUUACCUCUCCACCCCAACGCAACCACUAACCCACCGUCGCCGCCGCCAAACUUCCCAAAAUU
rnacentral:lncRNA from 1 species